rnacentral:rRNA from 2 species
UACGGAGGGUGCAAGCGUUAUCCGGAUUUAUUGGGCGUAAAGCGAGCGCAGGCGGUUAGAUAAGUCUGAAGUUAAAGGCUGUGGCUUAACCAUAGUACGCUUUGGAAACUGUUUAACUUGAGUGCAGAAGGGGAGAGUGGAAUUCCAUGUGUAGCGGUGAAAUGCGUAGAUAUAUGGAGGAACACCGGUGGCGAAAGCGGCUCUCUGGUCUGUAACUGACGCUGAGGCUCGAAAGCGUGGGGAGCAAACA